UUUCACAAAUCAAUCCAUUUCUCUCUCAACUCUCUCUCUCUAAAAUUCAUAAUCGUGGUUAAAGAAACAAGUGAACUCCAUUAUACUUACAUGUCUAGAGCUCCCAAUUCAUUGUUCCCUUAAAUCCAGAGCUCCCAAUUCAUUGUUCUCCUCAUCCCCAAAAUCAUCAUCCAACCCAGAAGACAUUCAACAAACAUAAACCCUAACUCUCUCUAAACUGAACUCCAUUAUACUUACAUGCCCUCCUUCGUUGCAGGUACUGUUAGGAGAUUUGUUGGUGGAUUGAUACGGAAUAUGAUGAAUGUCACGAAAGGUCAAAUUUGUUGUAGAGUUGCGUUGUUGAUUUGAACAAAUACAUUUGGAGUUAAUAUCCUCUAGGGCUUGCAUCUUCAUCUCCCCUCGCCUGUCACUUCUCCGCCUCGCACCUCAUCCUCAUCCGCCAUCGCGUAAUUGGCUUGCUAUGGUGUUCUAAGGUUUGUUAUGGAGAAUGAGGCAAAAGGAUGCGAGGUGCUCGUGAGCUUUGCAAGUCAAAUCAUGGCUGGACAAUGAGACCACAUCCGCUCUCUGCCUUCUGCGAAACCAUCCAGACAAGCUCAUUGACAUAGUUAACAAAGGCCAUAGAGGCAUUAGUGACUGAUUAUGAUAAUGGUUUUGAAGACGUUGAAGAUGAAUAUUCUCAGAUAAAUGAAUCAGAGAGGACUGAUGCUUUGGAGAGGGCAAUGAGAGGGUUCCCUGAGAAUAAAGUCACUUAAUGAAGAGCGAAAGAUGUUUGAAUCACAAGGAGGCUUGAUUUUUCUUUCUCUCAGGUCACAAUUUGAACUACAAUUUAUUGUCCUUAUUUUUGUAUAUAAUUACCGAUUUACGGAUCAUUAAAUUAUGAUUUCAAUCUUUUUAUGAUAAAAUUCAUGAAUUUGUGGGAAUUUUUAACUUUUUGUUGAUUACAAAUUGUUUAAAUGAUGUUUGGUGCAGACAUAUACUGGUGUUGAAGCUUUGGUAAACUUUCGAAUCCUUUUACUUGUGUUUAUACGUUCAAGUACUUAAACUGGACUAUUAAUAUGCCCAGGAGUCAUGGAUUACUAUUCCAAGUGGUUAACUUGGUAUUUUAUUUAAUAAUGUUAUUAGAAGAAUAGCAGCUUUAAGCCACUGUAAUUGUGAACAUGUUAAAGUUAUUAACUUAAAAUCAUUUUUUAAAUCUUGAAUAUUUGGCUUUGUGAAAUAGAUAUAUUUGGCGUGGGGGCUCAGUUGCUACCUUUAUGUUCAGUAUUGCAUCUACUACUUUUCAAGGUCAAACAUGAACGGAUUUUUGCAGUCAACAUUCUUCUUUUGCUAUAAUAUACUAUUCUGCUCUGCGUUCUUCACGAUGCUCAAGUGAUUAUAUUUAGAGUGAAAGGUGUGGUCUAAAAGACGGCGAACGCUCUUCCGGAGCUAAGGCAAUUAUCGUAUAGAUCUGAGUUUCCUCCUAUUGAAAAUGCCUUACAUCUGAAGCAAUAUCCUUACUUGCACAACUUGGUUUAAAUUUGCUUUUGAUCGGGUUUUGUUAACUUUAUUUGUUAGAAAGUUUUACUAUUAAAAGAAUUUAGAGUACUCAUUUGUGAUUUGAUCUUCAUAUUUCAUAUAUUCAUUUUGGAAUUCUUA